CCUACGGGAGGCAGCAGUGAGGAAUAUUGGGCAAUGGGCGCAAGCCUGACCCAGCAACGCCGCGUGAAGGAAGAAGGCUUUCGGUUUGUAAACUUCUUUUCUCAGGGACGCAGCAAGUGACGGUACCUCACGAAUAAGCCACGCCUAACUACGUGCCAGCAGCCGCGGUAAUACGUAGGUGGCAAGCGGUAUCCGGAUUUACUGGGUGUAAAGGGCGUGUAGGCGGGACUGCAAGGCAGAUGUGAAAACCACGGGCUCAACCUGUGGCCUGCAUUUGAACCUGUAGUUCUUGAGUACUGGAGAGGCAGACGGAAUGCGUGGUGUAGCGGUGAAAUGCGUAGAUAUUAGGAGGAACACCAGUGGCGAAGGCGGUCUGCUGGACAGCAACUGACGCUGAGGCGCGAAAGCGUGGGGAGCAAACAGGAUUAGAUACCCUUGUAGUC
rnacentral:rRNA from 1 species